ACUGGGAUUUGCCUGAACUUGUGUGGGUGUGGAAUCUGCCUUGCACACAAAGAGAAACAAGAAGGACCAUAAAGAUUUUAUUGACACAAGUUUGGGAUGUUUGGUUUGCUCGGCACUGUAUCAAGUAGAUUUCUCGAAGAGGCUGUGGUAACUUAGAAGGGUACUCAGGGGUAAUGUAGCUCUCACGUGAGCGCUAAAACGAGGUUUUUAUGUUCGGGUUGGGGGGGUUGUCUCUUUUUUCUUUUUUUUCUUCAAGAUUAUGUGAAAUUCUUCCCAUUUCUCACUCUAAAUUUAAAUCAUUUAAAGUUUGUAUAAAUCCCAUGUGAGCCAAGCCUAAUGAAAACCUGAGUAAGAUUUUUCUCAGAGACUAAUCCUGCUGUGCCAUGACGGUGAAAGUAAAUGGAAAAUGUGUAGCUGUGCAGAAGUCAUAAGUCAUUUUAGCCAAAGCAUACUGGAAAUCAAAUCUCCAGUAUCUUGGGUUCUGCACUUAGUUCAUAACCCCCCAUCAUCAAGAUUUGGAUAAAUAUGAAAUAUUAAGCUAUAUUUGAUUGAGUGUUCAGUCUGUACUUAGUGGAAAACCUGCUCUUAGUUUGAGGAGGAUAAACUGUAUUCGGUAGAAAUCAAAUAGGUGUGAAUACCUGCUUUCAGGCCAAACUCAGUCUUUGUGAUACCAUUGUAGUCAGCUCUUUAGAAACUUUAGAGGGGUCUGCACUAUCACAAAGUGAAAUAAAUUUAGGCCAUUGGGCAGAUAAUUUAUUCUGGCUACUCUUUCAAGCCCCCUUGCUAACGAUAGCCUGCCUUUCUGUGCUACAAUAUCCUUUGUAGCUUUCCAUUAGUAACAUCACCGAAAUGCAGUCGUUCUGGGGACAGAGCACCCCCACACACACCCCACACACCCCCUUUUACUCUCACACUGGUUGCUAGUGAUGAGAAGUUGUUUAUUUGAUGACUGACACAGCCGGCAUGGAGACUAUUGUGACAACAGCGCAAUCAAGGAUUUGACAAGUUCCAAGACAUCCUAUCUCUGGAACAUCUUUCAUUUUCAUGGUGCAGAAUUUUAUUUAUUUUUAAGCUUAAAAUACUUUCCUGGAGGGCAGGUGUAGUGUUUUUCCUCUUGCAUGGUAACUGUGCUCAAAUUCCAACUCCCCUGUCCAAUUACUCUCACCUUUGACAUUUCAGGCAGUGUUUUUGGGGAUGGGAAUCCUCUCUUAAUGAGUGACAGCUUGUUUCCUUCUUACCCUUAUACUUUAAAGAAGCAUUCCAGCCCCUCUUCAGUCCCUCUGACCCACUUUUCUUUAUUUUUGGAAGCUCUUAAUGGCUAGGGUCCCAUCUUUCCUGCAGCCUUUAGCUUUCACUGGCCUGACCCCCCUGCAGGGUUCAGAGCUGAGCUCUAAUCUAAUCUCGGGAAUGUGGCACCGAGACUCUACCUCCAUCCAGCCCUUCCCCAGCUGCUUCGCAGCUCCAUCUAGGGCAGUGCACUAAAUAGUCAUGAUCCACCCCGCUGCAGCGUCUGCCUGCACCAAAAAUAUAAAAGGAUACCACCAAGCUGCUGUCAAUCUGACAUUUCGCAUUAGAGCCGUAGGAAUGAAAGCUUUGAUCAAUUUUUUUCAGUUGUUUUUAAGAGACCCUAGUUCCCCUGAGAUGCGUGCCUGUGUACAACAGCGUGCGUGCGUGGGCCUAGUGACUGAAGCCAGCGAUGGAACUUUUUUUCCAUCAGCAAGUUCAGAGAAGGAGCUGGGGCACAGGUCCUGAGAGGUGCCAGGGAUGCAGCCAGCCUGACGUAAGGACCUCCCCAUGGCACUUUGGUUAACUAAAAUCAAUGCACUUGCCAGGCAGCAUUUUUAUUGAGGUUUCCCUCCACCCUGCCCCUCUCCCCACCGAUUUAAUGGUUUAUUUAGUUGACUAUGAAUUUCGUUCUGCUCGGAGAGCCCUGCACAGCGGAAUCGCUGUUCAGCCACAGAAGAGGCACAAGAGAUCCGCACGCACAUCAGGUCUCGUGCAGGGAGAACGAGAAUAAUUCUCAUCCCCCCGCGUUCGCUCCCCCACAGCAAGGGCUAAACCACGCUCGUUUCCAGCGGAGCCCCGUGGCCGCUCCCCGUUCCCAGCACGCUGGCUGCAGUCGGUCGGCGCGGACUCUUCCCUCGCAGGUAAUCCUCUCCAGCAUCUGCACCUCGCGUGUGGGGAAACCUCCGAUGGGGCGACCGCGACCCUGCCCCGCAGCCACGGCAUCGCCCAUUGAGCCAGCUCCAUCUCAGCGGCACGGACCCCAGCUGUGGUUUCCCGCCCGAGCCUCUUCUCCAUCCCGGGACAGAUGUGUUGUCCCGCAACAUCUGGCAGUCUGUCUCCCUCUAUUUUAAAAGGUCUGGCUUCACUGUGUCGGGCCAUCCAGGCCAGAAUACCUGAGCAGAGCUAGAUGAAGUAAUGGGGAGGAGUAGACCUCAGAGACACCAGCUUGCAGUAAGAUUCGAAGAGCUGUCUGCGUGGGAACGCUGCCAGCAAAGGCGACUGCUAGCCAGGCAAGGCUAAGGUGACAACCUGUUCUGGGAGAAGCUUUCCGGCUUUGCUGGAGUAUUGGAUAUUAAGGUCUGAUCCUGCAUCCAUCCAAGUCCAGAAUAGUUUCUCCACUGACUUUAGAGGCAUCUCUGAACAAUCUGAUGAUUUUUUUUCCCUAUCUUGAACAGGUAUCUUACACAGAGGGUACUGUAUUCCCUUGACCUGUCUGCCAGGCAGGUCAUCUGCUGUUCCCCUAAUUGCAGCAGGAGUUACUUUCCUGAAGUUAAAAUGGCUGUUUUCCUUUCCUGAGCACAAAGGGGCAGUAGAAGAGACCUGGCUGCGAAAGCCCUUGCCAGGAAAAGGAGGCUUUUAUUGCAUUCUCAGGCUGGAGGAACAUUUUUGGAGAGAUGCGAGAGUGAAAUAAGACACUGGCUGUGUGAGUCAUGGCUCAGACGUGCUCUCUAUUCCAAGGGGACAGCUGGUGGCACCAACAAAACAUCUCCCUAGAUACAUUGUCUGGCAGCAAUCCCCCUCCUGCUUUUUCCAGCUGUAACUACCGUUACGUGAUAAAUAAAUAAACACUCUGACAGUGAUGUGCAGAGGCAGAUUUCCUUCCCUCGGCCCCCGUAGGCUCUCACCUGUCCCUCUCCUCCCGCUGCAGGACCGCAAUGCUAAGAUUUAAAAGAAGGGGCAGGAAACACCGGUGUCGGACCCCGCAGCAUCCCACGGCUUUGACCUGGAUGGUGCCCGCGUCCCUCUGCACAGGGUGGCAGCUCCCCGUGAAGGGCACUAAACCAGAGCUGAAGCGAGCUGUGCUGCCGGCGGAGAGAAACGAUGCUCUCGCCUCCUUGCCUGCCUUAUCUUCACAGCUAAAGCCUCGGCCUCCCUGGCCCGCGAUCCCCAACCCUCGCACACCCGUUACCACGCUGCUGUAGAGCUGGGAAGGAGUCUGUUUUGUUGGCGGGCGCUGCUGGCUGGCUGAUGAAUUCAAAGCCCGACUGGAAGUUAACGAUGGCUCCAAGCAGCACAACCUCCUUCCUGCUGGGUUUCUGCUGCAGUUUUACUGGGAGCGGUUGAAGGGGAAGGUCAGCCGUAGCCAUGCUGCAGGUGCUUAAAGCCACAGGAAUUUAUUUUCUGCACCACCCAGUGCUAACGAAAGUGGUGCUGAACCGUAGUCAGCUCUCUGAAGUUUACAUGCACACAGCAGCAAAUCCUCUCUAGCAUUUGACUCUGUAUUUUAACAUAGUUCCAGACAUCAGCAAAUCAAUUAAAGUUCCUUACUACUGAAGCCUGAGUGUUUUCUGGAACAGCUGGUAAAUUAUUGAAUGAGACAAGGCUUAGGAAAAGAGGCUGGACUGAAAGGCAGAAAGAUUUUGUUUAUGCACAAAUAUUGUGUAUCCAGCAGCCAGGGGAUGUGCCCUUUGGACUGAGUAACGAUCAGUUUAAUAUCAAAUACGUCUUUCUGGAAAGACUGGCUGAAGUUGAAGAGAGGGAUCAUCAUUAGACAUGAUGAUCUGAGAGGUGGCUCUUCUCUCUAAAUGCCACGACCCCAUGAAAGCUGUCACAAAUGCACGGCCUUUGUCUGAGUCACUGCUUGAAUCAUGAAGGCUGCAACGUGUCCCGCCGUGGGUUAUGAAUGUUCCUGACACUGGGUGGGACAUGGUAUCCAUUCCAUAAGCUAAUUUAGGUGGGGCUGCACAAGCACCUUGCGUGCCUGCUAAGGUGAUCCAGCCUGCCUGCCGCCUGGUCGAUGCUGGCACGAGCAAAACUUCCCAGUGCUCCUUCUGGAUCCCCUGGGAAAAAGGGCCCUUCAGGAAGACGGCGUAUGGCAGGGAGGAGAGCCCUCAGCUCACGCAUAGCAGACCUCAGGGAUGGAUCCAGAAAAGGGCCGCGUGCUUCUUCCAGCCAUCGUGUGACCAGGAGAACAAGCCCCAUUAGGCAGCGCUAAUGGGAAACAGGGGCCCUCUGGAUCCACAAAGGCAGAGGCUGAUUUUGGUCUGCACUGCACAGGUUGUCCUUCCAGAUGCGGAUUGUGAGACAAGUCGCCAUGGCCAGCCAGCCCAGGUAAGGCACCAUCAGCAGCGCUGCUAUCUUGUUAAU